rnacentral:rRNA from 1 species
GGGCACUCUGAUGGGACGUGCCGGUGACAAACCGGAGGAAGGUGGGGAUGACGUCAAGUCCUCAUGGCCCUUAUAGGUGGGGCUACACACGUCAUACAAUGGCCGGUACAAAGGGCAGCAAACCCGCGAGGGGGAGCCAAUCCAUCAAAGCCGGUCGUAGUCCGGAUCGCAGUCUGCAACUCGACUGCGUGAAGUCGGAAUCGCUAGUAAUCGUGGAUCAGCAUGUCACGGUGAAUACGUUCCCGGGUCUU